AAAAGAGCCUUUACAUGGAGCUUGAUUUAAAUGUGGCAAAGCUGCCCAUGAAAGACCCCCAGAGUGGGGAGACCCUCACUUAAGUCUCGGGAUAAGCUGAUGCCCCAAUAAUUCAAGAGAGACC
rnacentral:pre_miRNA from 11 species